UGGGGAAUUUUGGACAAUGGGCGAAAGCCUGAUCCAGCAAUGCCGCGUGUGUGAAGAAGGCCUUCGGGUUGUAAAGCACUUUUGUCCGGAAAGAAAUCCUUGGCUCUAAUACAGUCGGGGGAUGACGGUACCGGAAGAAUAAGCACCGGCUAACUACGUGCCAGCAGCCGCGGUAAUACGUAGGGUGCAAGCGUUAAUCGGAAUUACUGGGCGUAAAGCGUGCGCAGGCGGUUUGCUAAGACCGAUGUGAAAUCCCCGGGCUCAACCUGGGAACUGCAUUGGUGACUGGCAGGCUAGAGUAUGGCAGAGGGGGGUAGAAUUCCACGUGUAGCAGUGAAAUGCGUAGAGAUGUGGAGGAAUACCGAUGGCGAAGGCAGCCCCCUGGGCCAAUACUGACGCUCAUGCACGAAAGCGUGGGGGAGCAAAACAGGAUUAGAUACCCCUGGGUAGUCCACGCCCUAAAACGAUGUCAACUAGUUGUUGGGGAUUCAUUUCCUUAGUAACGUAGCUAACGCGUGAAGUUGACCGCCUGGGGAGUACGGUCGCAAGAUUAAAACUUAAAUGAAUUGACGGGGUCAUA
rnacentral:rRNA from 1 species